rnacentral:rRNA from 1 species
AGGUUUCCGUAGGUGAACCUGCGGAAGGAUCAUUAUUGAAAUAAACCUGAUAAGUUGCUGCUGGUUCUCUAGGGAGCAAUGUGCACACUUGUCAUCUUUAUAUCUUCACCUGUGCACUUUUUGUAGACCUGAGUAUCUCUCUGAAUGCUUUUAUAGCAACCAGGAUUGAUAAUUGACUUUUUGUCUCUUGUUAUAUUUUCAGGUCUAUGUUUCUUCACAUACCCCAAUGUAUGUUUAUAGAAUGUAAUUAAUGGGCCUUUGUGCCUAUAAACCUUUACAACUUUCAGCAACGGAUCUCUUGGCUCUCGCAUCGAUGAAGAACGCAGCGAAAUGCGAUAAGUAAUGUGAAUUGCAGAAUUCAGUGAAUCAUCGAAUCUUUGAACGCACCUUGCGCUCCUUGGUAUUCCGAGGAGCAUGCCUGUUUGAGUGUCAUUAAUAUUAUCAACCUUUUUGGUUGGAUGUGGGUUUGCUGGCCUUUUGUUUUGGGAGGUCAGCUUUCCUUAAAUGCAUUAGCGGACAACAAUUUGCCAACUGUUCAUUAGUGUGAUAAUUAUCUACGCUAUUGACAUGAGAGCAAGGUUCAGCUUCUAACUGUCCAUUAACUUGGACAAGCCUCUGUUUUUAUUAAUGUGACCUCAAAUCAGGUAGGACUACCCGCUGAACUUAAGCAUAUCAAUAAGCGGAGGAAAAGAAACUAACAAGGAUUCCCCUAGUAACUGCGAGUGAAGCGGGAAAAGCUCAAAUUUAAAAUCUGGCAGUCUUUGGCUGUCCGAGUUGUAAUCUAGAGAAGCAUUAUCCGCGCUAGACCGUGUACAAGUCUCCUGGAAUGGAGCGUCAUAGAGGGUGAGAAUCCCGUCUUUGACACGGACUGCUAGGGCUUUGUGAUGUGCUCUCAAAGAGUCGAGUUGUUUGGGAAUGCAGCUCAAAAUGGGUGGUAAAUUCCAUCUAAAGCUAAAUAUUGGCGAGAGACCGAUAGCGAACAAGUACCGUGAGGGAAAGAUGAAAAGAACUUUGGAAAGAGAGUUAAACAGUACGUGAAAUUGCUGAAAGGGAAACGCUUGAAGUCAGUCGCAUUGUCCGGGGAUCAACCUUGCUUUUGCUUGGUGUACUUUCUGGUUAAUGGGUCAGCAUCAAUUUUGACUAUUGGAAAAAGAUUGAGGGAAUGUGGCAUCCUUGGAUGUGUUAUAGCCCUUGGUUGCAUACAAUAGUUGGGAUUGAGGAACUCAGCACGCCGCAAGGCCGAGUUUUUAACUACGUACGUGCUUAGGAUGCUGGCAUAAUGGCUUUAAUC